rnacentral:tRNA from 1 species
ACUUAAGUAGUUUAUAUAAAAUUGUAAUUUGUGGCAUUGCGGAAGUACUAUUACCUUAGGUU